rnacentral:rRNA from 1 species
CUAGCGUUGUCCGGAAUCAUUGGGCGUAAAGAGCGCGUAGGCGGCCAGAUAAGUCCGCUGUGAAAGUCGGGGGCUCAACCCUCGAAUGCCGGUGGAUACUGUCGGGCUAGAGUGCGGAAGAGGCGAGUGGAAUUCCUGGUGUAGCGGUGAAAUGCGCAGAUAUCAGGAGGAACACCAAUUGCGAAGGCAGCUCGCUGGGACGUUACUGACGCUGAGACGCGAAAGCGUGGGGAGCAAACAGG